CUUUGGGCUGAACUAUCUUUCAGGUGUCAGUAUUUACCAGGAAAAACUCAACAGGGCUUUGGGUUGGGUCUAUUUGAUUUUCCUUGGCUAAACAGAACACAGCCAAAAUUCAAGCCAUAGCACUAAAUGCAGGCACACUAGUAACAGUAAACACUUUUUAGUCAUAACUGACAGGCCUAGGCUUUUUCUAAAUGAGGAGCACAGUUUAAAACAGUAAGUCCUAUCAACAAACCAUGCACCGAGUAAGGUAAAGAGCAUACUGGCUGUCUUCACCAUUCUGGGGUGACUGUCCACAAGGCCAAGGCAAAAGUCACAGCCAGGAAGAGGACAGGAGCAAGAACCAAGCUGGAGGGCACCAUAUCAAGGACAUACGGGAGGCCCUGGGGUAAAUGGUCACACUUGUGAUUCUGUGAAUGUUGUCCUCCAAGCUUCAGCUGUGCAUCGAUCUGUCAGCAUCCAGAGUGACAAGAGCAAGGCUUGGAGAGUGUUGUCUCUGCAGUGCUGUUUUCAGGGGAGUUGACUCAUCUGGAUGGACCUUCCAGCAAUCACCUGGGAGAGUUUAUAGCCUGUGGCCAGCAGGUGGUGAAGGACCUGUGUUCCCUUCCAGCGGUCUGAUUGACUUGAACUGCAAAUCAUAUCAUCAGCAUCCUACAUGUGAGUGCAACUGAAGUCUGCAUGUGGAAAUUGGGGCAGAUGGCUCCUGUGAUGCCUUCAAAACAGAUUUUGAGACUGUCAGCUUCACCAGUUUGUCUGCUGAGGCCAGAUCAGCUACAUGAACACCACGCUCGUGCUUUUCUGCGAUUUUUUUCUUCUAUGCAAUGAUUAUCAUUCUUAUUUUUCUUGCUCUGCACAUUCUUACCACCUUCAUUGCCCUUUCUUUGGAGGCAAGCUGGACUGAAUAACACUGUAUAGUAUUGUGUGUACUAAAAAGCUUCACAGUAAGUGUGCAUGGGUCUGUGACCUCGAUCUGAACAAGAGGAAGCCACAACCACCUUUUAGAGUGGGGAAGGUGACUGGGGUCAUUUGUCACCCGAUGCAGAGUCUGUGAAUGGAAGCAAAAUUUUGCUGAGUGUUUCUGUUGAUGAACUGAGGUAAUACUGUGCUGGGUUCAGUCCUUGUCACUGCCUUCAUAAUCACAGAACUAUUUCCUGUAAUAACAGCAUGCAAAGCAACAACCAUAUGUCAACACUUUACUUAAAACCUAUUUAAAAUUUUCGUCAACAACCCAGGAAGAUGAAAGAAUAGUGGUGACAAAUUGUCUGGGAACUAGAAGGAGGAAAAAGUUAAUAAGAUAUAAAAUAAAAACAGAAAAGGAAACACAAGAAAAUUGAUUUUGAUGGUAUUAUUUUUAUGCCUGAAAAGGGGGGGGGGUAGAAGGAGAGAAGGUCUGAGAGGUUAAUGGGAAGGCAGAAAAAAUAAAAAAGGAAGGAAAAAGCAUAACUGAAAAGUGAGCAAUUUUAUGUGUGUUGGACCUAAUAAAUAGCUAUCUCUGCCUGCAGAAACCCAGUGUUGGAAGACUCAAAAAAUCAUCCUUAGUGAGAGAACUCAAUAGAUACAUGCAAAUGCCUGCAGAAAUUCAAACAGAAUGCAAACCCACAUGCAACUGAGUACACGCUUAUGCUGCACCCCUAAUACUUUGGGAGUGACAGAGGACCUGAAGUCUGUGUAGGUGCAGACUGCAGGUGGGUCAGACAGCAGGAAAAACCUCCGUUGAUUUCUAGCUCUGUUCUGCUCAGUGCGCUGAAUUUCAGGACACUUGCUCUCUCUAGGAAGUUUCAGGCUCAGGUCCUCCACCAGCCACAACCUUCCAGAACACUCCAUUGUCUUCUCCCAAACUUCCUGCUCGGCUUGCUCACACUGCUGUGAUCUCAGUGGGCUCUGGAACUAGCUUGGAGGCUUCCUCAUGCAGGUUAUUUGUCUCCACCUUCCUAUCCCUGCUCACAGGGCCCAAAUUUCCCCAGGCUCUGAAGUUCUAUUUAGUUCUGGAAUGCCCCAGCGCCCUGAACCAGA